UUUCAUCUUAAAAACGAAGUAAUAGUUUGAAACGUCUGUAUCUGAACAGGAAACUUUCUCUGUGUUUUAAACGAAUGACAGGGGGAGCUGUUGCCCCAUUUCUAGACACAUUUUCAUUUGAUUCGAUGAAAACGUGGAUUUAAAUCCACGAUUACGGUGUUUGUGCAGCCAUUCCUGUCUUUUCCUAUGAAUGCGAAACACAUUGAAAAAAAUGCCUGCUGCGAGACGAAAGGAAGGGAGUCAGAACUGAAAGCAACCAGUCCAAGGUGAAGUCCAGCUUUCCCCCAGCUAUGCAAACUGCACACAGGAAGGCCGGAGCUGGAAUCGAACCCACAA